rnacentral:misc_RNA from 1 species
GAUGAAGAACGUAGCGAAAUGCGAUAAGUAAUGUGAAUUGCAGAUUUCAGUGAAUCAUCGAAUCUUUGAACGCACCUUGCACCCUUUGGCAUUCCGAAGGGUAUGCUCGUUUGAGUGUCAUUGUACUCUCACACUUCCGAUCUUUGGAUUGGGAGCGGUGGACUUGGGUGUUGCUGCUUACUGUGGCUCACCUCAAAUCGAUUCGUGCACCUCUUGGUUGGACAUAGUACGGCGUGAUAAGUGUCUUCGCCGGCACCUCAGUAGAGGGUGGCUGAUCGGGAGCUCUGCUUCAAACCGUCCUCGGACAACAACUGACAACUUGACCUCAAAUCGAGUAGGACUACCCGCUGAACUUAAGCAUAUCAAUAAGCGGAGGA